rnacentral:misc_RNA from 1 species
CGUGCGGCAGCUAAUGCAGCGACGGGAUCGUCACCGUAGGGUACAGCAGGAGACAAAAGCGAGGAUUUCUUGGAAAGAAAAAGAUCGUCCCCGUCAAAUUCAUCUUGGUUGGGUCUCUUCUUCCCAGAUAAAAGAAAGGCAUGGGAUUUGGUGUGAGCCAUAAGAGAGAAAAUCUGUGAUAAGAAAGAGAAAGAAAUAGGAAAGUAAUUAAUUAGGAAGAAAUGUUUAAAGGAGGGGAGAAGAGCAGCUGAAACUGAAAUGGCUAUAUAUAGAGAGAGCAAAGGAGAGACUGAUAUAUAUAAGCAAAGAUUGAAUGGUGCCGUUGGGGGUGAAAAGAGAAUUUGUGGAAAAUGUGAGGAAUAGUGUUUU